UACGUAGGGGGCAAGCGUUGUCCGGAAUCAUUGGGCGUAAAGAGCGUGUAGGCGGCUCGAUAAGUCUGCUGUGAAAGUCCAGGGCUCAACCCUGGAAGGCCGGUGGAAACUGUCGGGCUAGAGUCCGGAAGAGGCGAGUGGAAUUCCUGGUGUAGCGGUGAAAUGCGCAGAUAUCAGGAGGAACACCGGUGGCGAAGGCGCCCACCUGGCCUGCUACUGACGCUGAAGCUCGAAAGCUAGGGGAGCAAACGGG
rnacentral:rRNA from 1 species